CGCCAGACUCCUACGGGAGGCAGCAGUGGGGGAUAUUGCACAAUGGGGGAAACCCUGAUGCAGCGACGCCGCGUGGGCGAAGAAGUAUUUCGGUAUGUAAAGCCCUAUCAGCAGGGAAGAAGAAAUGACGGUACCUGAGUAAGAAGCACCGGCUAAAUACGUGCCAGCAGCCGCGGUAAUACGUAUGGUGCAAGCGUUAUCCGGAUUUACUUGGUGUAAAGGGAGCGCAGGCGGCACGGCAAGCCUGAUGUGAAAGCCCGCGGCCCAACCGCGGGACUGCAUUGGGAACUACCGGGCUGGAGUGCCGGAGAGGUAGGCGGAAUUCCUAGUGUAGCGGUGAAAUGCGUAGAUAUUAGGAGGAACACCAGUGGCGAAGGCGGCUUACUGGACGGCAACUGACGCUGAGGCUCGAAAGCGUGGGGAGCAAACAGGAUUAGAUACCCCGGUA
rnacentral:rRNA from 1 species